rnacentral:piRNA from 1 species
AUCACAUACCUGAGAGUGACCGCAAC